UAUCUCAGAACUCGAUAAGCUAAUUGCAUAUGAAGAGUGAUAGGGUGAUCCAGGAACUGACUAAGUUGUUGCACUGCAAAACAUAUGUCAGGCCUAGUAUAUGUGAGAUAAAGAAGUCUGCCUACUAGUUUUCUGUAUGGAAGUGCAUCAGGAAGAGGUUCUCUUUGAUCAUUACUUAAUUUUGUUUUGUUUUGCAGUCCAGUGGGGUUUUUG
rnacentral:misc_RNA from 1 species